UUCCCCAAUGUCAGGGCUGCCCGGCAGACUGGAGGCUGGGAGGCUGCCACUCCCCGGUGGGACCCAGGCCCAGCCACCCUGCCCAGAGGACUUCCAGCAGCAGAACGCCACACAUUCGAGCCCUCUCUCUCCCCCUUACCCACCCUUCACCAAGCCAAUCCCGGCAGAGCCAGGUUUCUUCAAACUCUUGGGGCCCUUAGGCGGGGGCGCCCCCUAACUCUGACCUGGAGCACUAACUGUCCUGGAAAGUUCCUGAUGGCGUCUGACCUCCUGGGGAGAGGUGCUGGGAUCCAGGCCAUCAUCAAAUUCUGUUGCUUCUACCUCCUAGAAUAUCCUACAUCUAUUCUUCAUGUGCCCACUGCCAACGUGGGAGUCCAAGCCACCAUCAUCUGGUGCCGGGACCUCCUAUCUUGAAUCUCCAUGCUCCCCCUUCUGCCUCCCUGCCCCAAUCCAUUCUCCUGGAGCCCACUGAGCCAUCUCUUUAACAUGCAAAUCAGAGACCCUCUUCUUAAACCCUCUAGUGGCUUCCUGCUGCACUUAGCACCAGGAACUUCCUAGCCCGGCAGAAUCUGGCCCCUACCAGCCUCUCCAGAGCCAUUUCCACUGCCCUCAUCUUCACCCCACCCCCUCACAAUAUUGGAGUAACACAAGUCUUCUUGAAAAAGUCCAAAUCCUUCUUCCCCCAGCACUUGCCCCAGCUCACCAGGAAGGACUCAGUGCCAACAUCACCUCUUCUGGAAGACCUCCCCAGAUUACACUUCUAAAGCAGCCCUACCCGCCCAUCCCUAGUCGCUCCAAACCAUGGCCUUGCGUUUCCAUCACAGUAUCAUUACUUGAAAAUAUGUUGUGUAUUUACACACGUGUCAUCUGUUCCCCCUGCUGGACAAUGAGUCCUGGGAAGGCAGAGACCUUGUGCAUCCAGUCACAGUUGGAUCUCCUGGCACAAAGCAUUAUGCCAGGUAUGUGAUAGGUAUUUGUCAAGGGAAUGAAUGGCCCAAGGGCAAGUGAAGACCCUGCCCGCACAGAGCUUCCAGUCUGUGAUUCUUGAUCCACGUUUGUCCAAUAAAGCCGUGCUUCACAGUU